rnacentral:rRNA from 1 species
ACGCUUAACACAUGCAAGUCGAGGGGCAGCAUGCUUUUAGCUUGCUAAGGCCGAUGGCGACCGGCGCACGGGUGAGUAACACGUAUCCAACCUGCCGUCUACUCUUGGACAGCCUUCUGAAAGGAAGAUUAAUACAAGAUGGCAUCAUGAGUCCGCAUGUUCACAUGAUUAAAGGUAUUCCGGUAGACGAUGGGGAUGCGUUCCAUUAGAUAGUAGGCGGGGUAACGGCCCACCUAGUCUUCGAUGGAUAGGGGUUCUGAGAGGAAGGUCCCCCACAUUGGAACUGAGACACGGUCCAAACUCCUACGGGAGGCAGCAGUGAGGAAUAUUGGUCAAUGGGCGAGAGCCUGAACCAGCCAAGUAGCGUGAAGGAUGACUGCCCUAUGGGUUGUAAACUUCUUUUAUAAAGGAAUAAAGUCGGGUAUGGAUACCCGUUUGCAUGUACUUUAUGAAUAAGGAUCGGCUAACUCCGUGCCAGCAGCCGCGGUAAUACGGAGGAUCCGAGCGUUAUCCGGAUUUAUUGGGUUUAAAGGGAGCGUAGAUGGAUGUUUAAGUCAGUUGUGAAAGUUUGCGGCUCAACCGUAAAAUUGCAGUUGAUACUGGAUAUCUUGAGUGCAGUUGAGGCAGGCGGAAUUCGUGGUGUAGCGGUGAAAUGCUUAGAUAUCACGAAGAACUCCGAUUGCGAAGGCAGCCUGCUAAGCUGCAACUGACAUUGAGGCUCGAAAGUGUGGGUAUCAAACAGGAUUAGAUACCCUGGUAGUCCACACGGUAAACGAUGAAUACUCGCUGUUUGCGAUAUACGGCAAGCGGCCAAGCGAAAGCGUUAAGUAUUCCACCUGGGGAGUACGCCGGCAACGGUGAAACUCAAAGGAAUUGACGGGGGCCCGCACAAGCGGAGGAACAUGUGGUUUAAUUCGAUGAUACGCGAGGAACCUUACCCGGGCUUAAAUUGCAGAUGAAUUACGGUGAAAGCCGUAAGCCGCAAGGCAUCUGUGAAGGUGCUGCAUGGUUGUCGUCAGCUUGUGCCGUGAGGUGUCGGCUUAAGUGCCAUAACGAGCGCAACCCUUGUUGUCAGUUACUAACAGGUUCUGCUGAGGACUCUGACAAGACUGCCAUCGUAAGAUGUGAGGAAGGUGGGGAUGACGUCAAAUCAGCACGGCCCUUACGUCCGGGGCUACACACGUGUUACAAUGGGGGGUACAGAGGGCCGCUACCACGCGAGUGGAUGCCAAUCCCAAAAACCUCUCUCAGUUCGGACUGGAGUCUGCAACCCGACUCCACGAAGCUGGAUUCGCUAGUAAUCGCGCAUCAGCCACGGCGCGGUGAAUACGUUCCCGGGCCUUGUACACACCGCCCGUCAAGCCAUGGGAGCCGGGGGUACCUGAAGUGCGUAACAACGAGGAGCGCCCUAGGGUAAAACUGGUGACU